GUGGAUAUAAAGGCAGGCCAAGGGGAAAGCCCUUUUCUAUUUCCAGCAGGACACACCUGGCAAUGGAUGUGACAUUCAGCACUGCCCAGGUUUCUUCCACUUGGAGGAGGCAAACUGGUGAAUGGAAGGAGGCAAUCCUCUGGCAGUGGGAUACUUGGGAGCGAUAAUAAGGCAAGUUUGCUUGUUUGAAGGCUGCUGGUGUCUGUGGUUGGAAACUGGUGGACGUCUCAUGAUGGACCUAACAGUAGCUUCUGGCACAAUGGGGCACCGUGACAGAAGCCAGAGUGGUUUAGACCACAGUACCACCCCUUCCCCAAACUCAUAACACUAUGCAUGAUCAAAUCUCUGUCCCACGCUGUUAGAAACAGGAGAUACUGGGCCCUGCUGAGUGCUGUGGGUUUUUGUCUCUGAUUAUAUGGCUCAUAUAUCAUUCCCAAGACCAAAAAGUAAAAAGAAAAAAGUGAGUGAGUAUUAAAUCUGUGCUGGGAACAAUACCAUAAUUACGUACAAUUAGGUGUGAAAAGGAAAUUGCGGUAAAAAUGCCCUUGAAGUACACUGCUUUCCCACAAUUUAAUAUUGAAUGCAUCCAAGAACAGGCCUUUAAACCUUGCUGUGAUCCUGCCCCCAGUGAAAUAUAUAUAAAAAUGGAAAAUCUAGUCCUCACAAAUCAGUGCCAGAGAUCCAAAUGAUGUUUCCCAGGCAGCCCAACCAUAGCGAGUGGGGAGUCCAAAUUGCUUCCCUCAGAUAGCACUCCUCCCAUCAUCACAGGCAAAUCACACACAUCCCUGGAACUUCACAGCUGCCGGCAAAACGUGAUUAUUCUUCCUGUUGGCAUUUUCAUCACUUACGCAAUAGCCAUGUGUUUUGUGUGUGUUGUGGGAACAUAAGAGUACUCAUUGGUUAUUGCCUGUGAUGUCUGAGGCUAUGCACACAAAUUAGCAGCUCGAAAUUCAGCAGGGUCAUUUCCAGUUGCAUUUUUACGUUGCUGUACACACCAGAAAGAGGGACGUGGGUGGCGCUGUGGGUUAAACCACAGAGCCUAGGACUUGCCGAUUAGAAGGUUGGCGGUUCGAAUCCCCGCGACGGGGUGAGCUCCCGUUGCUCAGUCCCUGCUCCUGCCAAACUAGCAGUUCGAAAGCAUGUCAAAGUGCAAGUAGAUAAAUAGGUACCGCUCCGGAAGGAAGGUAAACGGCUUUUCCGUGCGCUGCUCUGGUUCGCCAGAAGUGGCUUAGUCAUGCUGGCCACAUGACCUGGAAGCUCCCUCGGCCAAUGAAGCAAGAUGAGCGCCGCAACCCCAGAGUUGGUCACGACUGGAUCUAAUGGUCAGGGGUCCCUUUACAUUUACCUAUACACACCAGAAAGGAGCUGGGGAUGUCUCCCUAUCUGAUGCACAUUACUCGAUUUGUUUCUCCACCCUGACAACCUCCUGCAACUCUCAUAAAAACGAAACUGUUGUCUGUGUGUGUGCAUUGCGUGUGCACAAUGGCUGCCUGAAAUGUACACAACUUGGCUUAACCAUGCUGUAGAUUUUCAAAUCAGAUGAAAGCUGGUUUGAGGGGAAACACAUUUAAAAGUAUUUCUCAAGAAGUUAUAGGAUACAGAUGGAUUGUGGCCAACAUUAUGCAUCCUCGGCUUCAGAUACCAGCACUGGAGCCGGCGCAAUAUGCAAGUGCCGUGCAUCUGUGGAUAUGAUUUGGAAACAAAUUAUAUGGCUCCCUCGCUGAAACAGGCUGGUCUAAAGCUGCUUGGGAAUCCCUGUGACUUCUUCAUUUUUCCCCCAGACACAAGGCAUACCUGAGACUGAGGAAUAUGCAAGGCUUUUUGCAGGUCAGUGAAAUUCAAAAGAAUGUGAACUGAACAUGUUAGGAACCUACUCUGCCCCAAUGAACCUGCCAAAAGAAUGGAAUUCGGUUUUUCUGCUUUUCUCUUUCUUUCCCCCUAAGGGCUCCAGCUUCGUAGGUGCAGCUGCCUCUUACCAUCCCUCUUAGUAGUAUUGGAAGAAAUUCAGCUUGAGGCUGUCUGCAUUGUUUUCUCUCUUCCCCUCCCUUACCUUUAUGACAAAUCUUUGACAGGGAGGACAAAGGUUCAUUCAGGGACCAGCCUGCUAAAAUGCCAGGUGGAUGCUCCUUCUUGCAUUCUAGGGAGAACGGUUGUAGCUCAGUAGCAGAGGAUGUGCUUUGCACACAAAAGAUCCCAGGUCCAGUCUCCCACAUCUCCAGCUAAGGUCUGAUUUGAAACCCUGGAGAGACACCCCCAGUCAAUUUCAGCAGUAGGUGGACUGAUGUUCUGAGGCAGCUUCCUAGGACUCUGAGUCAUUACUCAUUACUCACUCUCAGAGACUGAUGUUCACAGCUGGAUGAAGGAGAUAAAUACGGGAGACACAGGAAUCCUCUGGUUUUCCCUGCGAUGGUAAUUGGUUGGACUGGCAGGAAGCAGGAAAUUCCUCUUGCUCAUAAGACACUUGGAACUAAGCUAUCUUGCUUCUCUUGGUGUGUCCAUUUUGAAAUGAUUUGAAAAAGUGUGCCUGCUUUUUUGCAAGUUGCAAGUUGUGUUGAUUUUGAUUCCCUUAACAUAAAUUACAAAAGGCACUUUCAUUAUAUCCUUUAAAGCACAUUAUGUCCCUCAAUCUGGGCCCUGGAGUUUGUUUAAGAGUUGCCAACUUCGUGUGUGAUAAUCUACAGUGCUCAGAAUCCUUUCAGGGAACUUAAGCUGUAAGAAGAAGAAGAAGAAGAGUUUGGAUUUGAUAUCCCGCUUUAUCACUACCCGAAGGAGUCUCAAAGCAGCUAACAUUCUCCUUUCCCUUCCUCCCCCACAACAAACACUCUGUGAGGUGAGUGGGGCUGAGAGACUUCAAAGAAGUGUGACUAGCCAAAGGUCACCCAGCAGCUGCAUGUGGAGGAGUGGAGACCCGAACCCGGUUCACCAGAUUACGAGUCUAUCGCUCUUAACCACUACACCACACUGGCUCUCAAGUUACUGUCAGGGACAGUGCUGAGGAGAGCUGCACUGAGGAAGAAUUGUGGGAGCCUCCCCCUCCCCCUGAUCAGGAUCCAAAUCCUGAAUCUUCCCAGGAGCAGGAGGACAUUAUAGAUUUGGAAUAGUGGUUUGCAGAAGGGCAUAGUUAAGAAGGCAGAAGCUGGGAAAUACUGGAUGGGGAACAGCUAGGAGAACACACACACACACACACACACACACACACACACACACACACAGUGUUAACAGAUUCACUGUCUCUGGACAGCAUUCAUCCACUCUACCCAAGGUCAAGAAGAGCUCAGAAAGUGGCAGAACAGAAAGCACACAAAGCACAGACGGGCCAAGCUCAGAUUACAUGACGUAGAAGUGACAUGGAUUAAUAGGGACGCAAGGGGGUGUAAUCCUUAAUUGGGAGCACCACCAUUUCUAGGAGAUGGGUUCUUUGUCCUCUUGCUGUGAUAAUAUAAAGUUUCUAACUGGUAAGAAGACUCCUGUUCCUUUGUUCUGCUGAUCUACUGCCAUGGGGGGAGGAAGCCAAUUUCCUGAAGCCUGACGGAUGCACACAGCCUCAGGAUGGGAUUUACUGAACAUUGCUAUCCUAUGUCAUGCUGGGUCCAGGCUACCAGGCUUGUCCCCCGGAUAAUCUGGGGAUC